UACGUAGGGUGCAAGCGUUGUCCGGAAUUAUUGGGCGUAAAGAGCUCGUAGGCGGUUUGUCGCGUCUGCUGUGAAAACCCGAGGCUCAACCUCGGGCCUGCAGUGGGUACGGGCAGACUAGAGUCCGGGAGAGGAGAGUGGAAUUCCUGGUGUAGCGGUGAAAUGCGCAGAUAUCAGGAAGAACACCCGUGGCGAAAGCGGCUCUCUGGAACGGUAC
rnacentral:rRNA from 1 species